AUACGGAGGGGACUAGCGUUGUUCGGAAUUACUGGGCGUAAAGAGUUCGUAGGCGGACUGAUAAGUAAGAGGUGAAAUCCCAGGGCUCAACCCUGGAACUGCCUUUUAAACUGUCAGUCUAGAGACCGGAAGAGGUUAGGGGAAUACCUAGUGUAGAGGUGAAAUUCGUAGAUAUUAGGUGGAACACCAGUGGCGAGGGCGCCUAACUGGUCCGGUACUGACGCUGAGGAACGAAAGCGUGGGGUGCAAACAGGAUUAGAAACCCUAGUAGUCC
rnacentral:rRNA from 1 species